rnacentral:lncRNA from 1 species
CCCUUUGGGCUUAGCCAAGACUGAAAGUCUCCACCAACCCGGCGGGGUUGGGGGCUUCUCUCCCCAAGUCACUCUCAGGGCAGCUCCUCCCCUCCUCACCCCACUACGGGCCUAGAAGGGAUGGGGAGAGGAGCCCCCAGGCCUGCAGCAGGGUAGGGGUGGUAAACUCGCUGUUACAGGGCGCGGGAGAGAGCACGGUUUACUGGGUCUGGUAAGGAGGUGCCCAGGAAUUGGAAAAUCCCUGCCCUGGCAACUGCAAUUGCUUGGGUCCUGAUAGUCCCAGGCCCAGAGCGCUUUUGAUACUUAUGGCCCUUGUACCUCCCUGCUUUCCUCUGCCCAGACCCCGUGGGGUCCCACCCACCUUCCUGUUCGUGGUGGGUGCUGGUACGCGGCAGGGCUAGUCUAGAGCUCCGACCUGGGAGCCUGGAGGCCCAGCGAAACCAGGCCCGGUUUGAGGUUACGGUUGAGGCACACGGCGUCGGGGCUCAACUGAACUCAAAGUGUGGAAAGGCCCGGGUCUUCCAGCAGCCUGCCCUGGCCGAACCACACAGGCUUAAGGAGGGUCCCCAGCACCUUAUCCAUCUGUUUUGGAAACGCCGGUCGCCCCCUGGUGCUUCCGGGGCUGGUCACAGCGGAGUGAAUCAGCUCGGUGGUGUCUUUGUCAACGGGCGGCCACUGCCGGACUCCACCCGGCAGAAGAUUGUAGAGCUAGCUCACAGCGGGGCCCGGCCGUGCGACAUUUCCCGAAUUCUGCAGACCCAUGCAGAUGCAAAAGUCCAAGUGCUGGACAAUCAAAACGUGUCCAACGGAUGUGUGAGUAAAAUUCUGGGCAGGUAUUACGAGACUG